CCUACGGGCGGCUGCAGCGACGAAUCUUCCGCAAUGGGCGAAAGCCUGACGGAGCGACGCCGAGUGUGGGAUGAAGCGGCUUUGCCGUGUAAACCACUGUUAGGGGAUAGAAACAAUGAUCAUCUCCAGAGAAAGGGGCGACUAACUCUGUGCCAGCAGUCGCGGUAAGACAGAGGCCCCGAGCGUUAAUCGGAAUUACUGGGCUUAAAGGGUGCGUAGGCGGAUCUGUAAGUGUCGUGUGAAAGCCCACUGCUCAACAGUGGAAUAGCACGGCAAACUGCAGACCUUGAGGAAUCUAGAGGCCGGUAGAACGAUUGGUGGAGCGGUGGAAUGCGUAGAGAUCAAUCGGAAUGCCAAAGGUGAAGACAGCCGGCUGGGGAUUUCCUGACGCUGAGGCACGAAAGCGUGGGGAGCAAACAGGAUUAGAUACCCCUGUAGUC
rnacentral:rRNA from 1 species